GUCUCUUCGGGGAUGAUUAAACCGGCGCACGGGUGAGUAACACGUGAGUGACCUGCCUUUUAGACUGGAACAACUUACCGAAAGGUGAGCUAAUGCCGGAUGAGUUAUAUAAGUGCAUGUUUAUAUAGGAAAAGUUGGGAGACCUGACGCUGAAAGAUGGACUCGCGUCCCAUUAGCUAGUUGGUAGGGUAAUGGCCUACCAAGGCGACGAUGGGUAGCCGGCCUGAGAGGGUGGCCGGCCACACUGGGACUGAGACACGGCCCAGACUCCUACGGGAGGCAGCAGUGGGGAAUUUUGCGCAAUGCUCGUAAGAGUGACGCAGCGACGCCGCGUGAAUGACGAAGGCCUUCGGGUCGUAAAGUUCUUUCGACAGGGAAGAAAAUGCCUAUAAGUAACUGUGUAUGUAUUGACGGUACCUGUAUAAGCAGCCCCGGCUAACUCCGUGCCAGCAGCCGCGGUAAUACGGAGGGGGCGAGCGUUGUUCGGAGUGACUGGGCGUAAAGAGCACGUAGGCGGUGUUGUAAGUCAUUAGUCAAAGACUAGAGCUCAACUUUAGUAAGGCUAGUGAUACUAUAAUACUAGAGUGUCAGAGAGGAUUGCAGAAUUCCUGGUGUAGCGGUGAAAUGCGUAGAUAUCAGGAGGAAUACCGUUAGCGAAGGCGGCAAUCUGGCUGGAAACUGACGCUGAGGUGCGAAAGCGUGGGUAGCAAACAGGAUUAGAUACCCUGGUAGUCCACGCUGUAAACGAUGGAUGCUAGGUGUUGGGCUUUUAA
rnacentral:rRNA from 1 species